CUACUGGCCGCAGCAGUGAGGAAUAUUGCACAAUGGGGGGAACCCUGAUGCAGCAACGCCGCGUGGAGGAUGACGCAUUUCGGUGUGUAAACUCCUUUUAUAUGUCAAGAAAAUGACGGUAGCAUAUGAAUAAGCACCGGCUAACUCCGUGCCAGUAGCCGCGGUAAUACGGAGGGUGCAAGCGUUACUCGGAAUCACUGGGCGUAAAGGACGCGUAGGCGGGGUGGAAAGUCAGGUGUGAAAUCCUACAGCUUAACUGUAGAACUGCACUUGAAACUUCUAAUCUAGAGUAUGGGAGGGGGAGAUGGAAUUAGUGGUGUAAGGGUAAAAUCCGUAGAUAUCACUAGGAAUACCUAAAGCGAAGGCGAUCUCCUGGAACAUUACUGACGCUAAGGCGUGAAAGCGUGGGGAGCAAACAGGAUUAGAUACCCCCGUAGUC
rnacentral:rRNA from 1 species